GUAGGGAAUAUUGGGCAAUGGAUGCAAGUCUGACCCAGCCAUCCCGCGUGCCGGAAGAAGGCCCUCAGGGUUGUAAACGGCUUUUGACGGUGAAGAAUCGACAGGAUGCGUCCUGUUUUGACGGUAGCCGUUGAAUAAGCACCGGCUAACUCCGUGCCAGCAGCCGCGGUAAUAUGGAGGGUGCGAGCGUUGUCCGGAUUUAUUGGGUUUAAAGGGUGCGUAGGCUGGAAGGUCAGUCAGCGGUGAAAAGCUGUCGCUUAACGAUAGUCUUGCCGCAGAUACUUCCUUUCUUGGAUGAGGAGGAGGCCACUGGAACGGAUGGUGUAGCGGUGAAAUGCAUAGAUAUCAUCCAGAACACCGAUUGCGAAGGCAGGUGGCUGUACCUUAAUCGACGCUGAUGCACGAAAGCAUGGGGAGCAAACAGGAUUAGAUACCCUAGUAGUCC
rnacentral:rRNA from 1 species